AUACAGGGGGUGCGAGCGUUAAUCGGAAUUACUGGGCGUAAAGAGUACGUAGGCGGUUGCUUAAGUCAGAUGAGAAAGCCCGGGGCUCAACCUGGGAACUGCAUUUGAAACUGAGUGACUAGAGUUUAAGAGAGGGGAGUAGAAUUCCGGGUGUAGCGGUGAAAUGCGUAGAGAUCCGGAGGAAUACCAGUGGCGAAGGCGGCUCCCUGGCUUAAAACUGACGCUGAGGUACGAAAGCGUGGGUAGCAAACAGGAUUAGAAACCCCAGUAGUCC
rnacentral:rRNA from 1 species